AGCCCAACAUGGGGCUUGAACCCACAAACUGUGAGAUCACAACCUGAGCUGAAGUCGGAUGCUUCACCGACUGAGCCACCCAGGUGCCUGGCAUAAUUGGCUUCUAAAGUAAAUACGCUUUCCCAUCACGUUGUGACUACCUGCUCCAAGAGUCCUGCUUUUUACAAAGUGAAUUUUCUUGCCUCCAAGGCUUUAGGUGUCUUUCUCUUCUACUUUACUGGAGGGGGGGGGAACCCCCCAAAACAACAUGCAGCCAAGCCUCCAGUGGCUCUCAAGAGGGCCAGAUCAGGGCUCCCAGGCACCUGUAAUAAGAACUCUUUGCCCUUCCCCCAACUUGAAUGUCCCUUCGGAGAAAAGAUCACAGUGUGCCUUCGGGGUCAGGUAUGAGGAUUAUGUGGAUAGUUGGUUCUCCAACCUGAUCAACCUUGGACUCCAUAGACGGUGUCCAUCCAGCGGAUGGUCAGGAUGACAGCCCAGACGCAGAACCAGCGGGGAACACGGUGUCCCCACCCUCCGUUCCGCUGGGAAGACGGCCCAGGCAAAUCAAACAGGAAAAACGGCUGCAUUUGUUCAUCAGGGACAAGGAACAUUUUGCUAUUGAAGACCGGAGGUGACUGUAGUGGCUUCUCCAUUUGAAGGGCACUGGCAUCACUCAUUUCCACGGGAAAACGAAUUCCCUCCUGCUCAGUGGAGCUGGGGGGACCGAAGAUUUGCUGUCCCUGGCACUUGUCGUCACCUGAGGUGGGUGGCCUUGUGCUUAGGGGGUGUGUGGGAGCUUCUGGCUGAGCAGAGGCAGGAGCAGGCCUGGAACUGAGUAGGGGCCCAGGGGGCAGCUACAUUGUCUGAGAAAUUACAGAACGGAGUCAAAGGGUAGGGGCAAAGGAAGUUCAGAAAUGGAGAAAUUGGGAAAUUGGGAAAGAACUGGCGGGGGGUGGGGGUGGCCAUGAUGGACAAGAUACAGAUGCCGUGGAGAAAACUGCCCAGUGAGAAGUUUCCAACAUGGGGGAUUCACAUCACUGAUGUCAUUUGUACCUUCUCCAGGUAGACCACAUACGUACUGGGGCGAGAAGAGCAGGCAUCUCCUCCCAGGACAAAAGACAAGCACGGGACCAGAAGUGUCUGUCUUAAAUGCCACUGGCUCCAUGGGUCUUGUGUUCACCGCUGUGCCUGGCACAGAACCUGGCACUCGAUAGGAGUGCCUUAUGAAGGAUUCACUUAAUUCAAGAGAGAAAGAAGGAGAGAUCCCAUCUUUGCCAUGAACCUCUUAUUGGAGCCCUGACCAGGAUGUCGUGUAUUCUAACCUAGGACCUUGAGCUCUUUGCUGGAAGCUAUUCUAUGUUCCUCUUUGUCUCCCUGCUCCCUGUCAAUGAGUCUGGUACACAGUAGGUGCUCCGGAAGGUAUGACUUGAGUGAAUGAAAGAAAGUUCUGCAGAUCAAGGGUAGUGUGUAAUCACCUAUUGCUGGGUAACAACCAACAUCAAAUCUUAGCAGCUCCAAUGGCCACCAUUACCUGCUCACCAUUCUGGGCUCAGCUGGGCAGUCCUCUGGGGGGUUACUCAUGAAGCUAUAGGGUCUGAGAAGGCCUCAUGCAAAUGUCUGGGGCUUCCAGCCAGGGAGCCUCAGUUCUCUUCCGUAUGACGUCUCUGGCAGACAAGGAUAGAUGCCCAUGUAGCUGUGCUUCUGAAGCCUCUGCCUGAGUCACCUGUGCUGGUGCACAGAGGCCAGUGUGAGCCACUGGGAGGAGAUGACCCAGGUCCUAGAUGCAGGGAGGAGAGAUUUAUUAGAGGCCACGAAUCACGUCACCUAUCAUGACCUACCAUGGGCACAUCAUCCCAGGUUUAGCCACUUGGGGCCAGAAUUCUGGAAGGAUUAUUCUUCCAGGGGUUCCCAGGUGACUGGAUCUUGGAUUUAGGUGUUUCAGAAGCAGCAAAACAACAACAUAACAACUCGGGAAUAGUCGGGCAAAACCCUGCAGAGGAUCUACGUGCACACGCCCACAGUGGCAGCAGGUACAGAUGGCCUGGGGUGGGAGUUGCCACAAUGGUGGCCUGGACAACCUCCUCCUCUGAACUUAGCUCAGGAGUUCCAUCCCCUCCUGAACCUCUAGGGGUAGCGGGCCUGGCCACCUAGAUUGGAGGCUGGGGGCAACUAUGCCAACGACUAGGCCUGGGGGCAGGAAGCCGUGAAUGAAGGGAUCAGAAGAAGAGGUGCGGGGACAGGUCUGGGAGCUGGAACCAGAAAGGUCUCAGCCAUACCCUUGGCUGCUGAAUUGGUCAGCCGAGGACACUGGCUGCUCUCCAACCCCCAUACACCCCAGAGCUUGGCCCACCGUGUACCCUGGAACCUCAGAGCUCGGCACUCAGGUCCUCUCUCCACUCAUCUUUUGGAACCCCUGACUGUCAUGCUCUGAGUAAUUAGUAAAAUUAGUUUGCCAUAAUUA